GGCUGCGGGGCCAUCUCCGCGUCUCUGCUGCUCUCCAGGCUUCUCGGGAAACGCUGCUUUAUGCAGUUAAGUUUAUGAAGAGGAGGAAUCUCAAAAAGCUGCUGAAGGAGCAGAAACUGUGGAAGUUCAGCAAGUGCCUGAUCUGCACUUGCUGGGCAGCCCUGUUUUACACCAAGGACCUGGGAAACAAUUCCCAGCAACUGGGAAAAUCUGAGGUCAUCCAUCCACUCAGAGACAGGAAGGACAUGUUUGGCUCACAUCUUCACUGCAAGGCUCAGAAGGUCUAAAAGACUUCAAGUUACAAGACAUUUUAAGGAUUUAUUGGACAAUAAAACAUUGCCAACAAGGAUAUGUAUGUUUCUGCCCCGAUCCUUCAGUAUUUCAUCUCAUGGACUCAUGCUACAGGGAAAGCUUUCAUAGCCAAUCGUUCUGACACACAAACCUACAGCACUGGAGUCUAAACUUCAUGUUUGCUGUUGCAACUACUUUUAUUUUUUCUAUACCUAAACUCUAAAAUGCUAAACUUUCCUCCAGUAAGCUUAAGGUGUCUCUGUUUUAUAGUAUAAAUCUGCAUUCGCUCUUCUUAGCACCUAAGUUUGGGAGCCCUUUCCAAGGCCUCAAAACAAAUCCUGUGUUUAAUUCUAAGCCUUGGCUAACAGGCCCAAAGGUCUGAGAUUUCUCUGCAUUUGGGUUUCCAGCAACACUGAUGCUGUUAGUUGCAGAGUGCCCAGGAUGCGUCUUGCAGGUCAACUCUGGCAGGAACAAGGCGGCUGCCAGGGGGCUGCUUGUGGCCUCUGAC